rnacentral:rRNA from 1 species
GAGUUUGAUCAUGGCUCAGAACGAACGCUGGCGGCGUGCUUAACACAUGCAAAUCGAACGCGAAAGUUUUCUUCGGAAGACGAGUAGAGUGGCGCACGGGUGAGUAACGCGUAAAUAAUCUACCCCUGCAUCUGGGAUAACCCACCGAAAGGUGUGCUAAUACCGGAUACGUUCUUUUAACCGCGAGGUUUUAAGAAGAAAGGUGGCCUCUGAUAUAAGCUACUGUGCGGGGAGGAGUUUGCGUACCAUUAGCUAGUUGGUAGGGUAAUGGCCUACCAAGGCAUCGAUGGUUAGCGGGUCUGAGAGGAUGAUCCGCCACACUGGAACUGGAACACGGACCAGACUCCUACGGGAGGCAGCAGUGAGAAAUAUUGCGCAAUGGGGGCAACCCUGACGCAGCGACGCCGCGUGGAUGAUGAAGGCCUUCGGGUCGUAAAAUCCUGUCAGAUGGAAAGAAGUGCAUAUGGAUUAAUAAUUCAUAUGUUUGACGGUACCAUCAAAGGAAGCACCGGCUAACUCCGUGCCAGCAGCCGCGGUAAUACGGAGGGUGCAAGCGUUGUUCGGAAUUACUGGGCGUAAAGCGCGCGUAGGUGGUCUGUUAUGUCAGAUGUGAAAGUCCACGGCUCAACCGUGGAAGUGCAUUUGAAACUGGCAGACUUGAGUACUGGA